CGGAGUACUUCGGUACUUAGUGGCGGACGGGUGAGUAACGCGUGAGGAUCUGCCCUCAGGAGGGGGACAACGACUGGAAACGGUCGCUAAUACCCCAUAUGCCGAGAGGUGAAAUGUUUUUUCGCCUGAGGAUGAGCUCGCGUCAGAUUAGCUAGUUGGUGGGGUAACGGCCUACCAAGGCGACGAUCUGUAGCUGGUCUGAGAGGAUGAUCAGCCACACUGGGACUGAGACACGGCCCAGACUCCUACGGGAGGCAGCAGUGGGGAAUUUUCCGCAAUGGGCGAAAGCCUGACGGAGCAAGACCGCGUGAGGGAUGACGGCCUAAUGGUUGUAAACCUCUUUUCUCUGGGAAGAUAAUGACGGUACCAGAGGAAUAAGCCUCGGCUAACUCCGUGCCAGCAGCCGCGGUAAUACGGAGGAGGCAAGCGUUAUCCGGAAUUAUUGGGCGUAAAGCGUCCGUAGGUGGUUAAUCAAGUCAGCUGUUAAAGAGCGGAGCUUAACUCCGUUAGAGCGGUUGAAACUGAUUGACUAGAGUUUGGUAGGGGUCGAGGGAAUUCCCAGUGUAGCGGUGAAAUGCGUAGAUAUUGGGAAGAACACCGGUGGCGAAAGCGCUCGACUGGGCCUGAACUGACACUGAGGGACGAAAGCUAGGGGAGCGAAAGGGAUUAGAUACCCCUGUAGUCCUAGCCGUAAACGAUGGAUACUAGGCGUUGUCCGUAUCGACCCGAGCCGUGCCGAAGC
rnacentral:rRNA from 1 species